rnacentral:rRNA from 1 species
UGAUCAUGGCUCAGGACGAACGCUGGCGGCGUGCUUAACACAUGCAAGUCGAACGGUGACGGAGGAGCUUGCUCCUCCUGAUCAGUGGCGAACGGGUGAGUAACACGUGAGCAACCUACCCUCGACUCUGGGAUAACUUCGAGAAAUCGGAGCUAAUACCGGAUACGAGACGCGCAGGCAUCUGCAGCGUCUGGAAAGAUUUAUCGGUCGGGGAUGGGCUCGCGGCCUAUCAGCUAGUUGGUGAGGUAACGGCUCACCAAGGCGACGACGGGUAGCCGGCCUGAGAGGGCGACCGGCCACACUGGGACUGAGACACGGCCCAGACUCCUACGGGAGGCAGCAGUGGGGAA